UUUCAACUUGUUGUGGGCAAAUCCAAUGAAUGUGAGUAUCUAUCCCUCCCGCCGUUAAGAUUUGUCCUUCACCUGCGAUGACUUCAGUUGCUGCACCUAAAGGAAUUGUAAUGUCAGGUUGAAUAUCAGGGUUACCUGCUUUACCUAUUUUCCAGAUACGACCAUUUUUAAGUCCAACAUCGGCUUUGACAAUACCCCACCAAUCGACAAUUAAAGCAUUGGUAAUGACGGUAUCAGCGACCUCAUCAGACAAUAAUUGUGACUGUCCCAUACCAUCGCG
rnacentral:sRNA from 1 species